rnacentral:lncRNA from 1 species
GUUGCCAUGAUUAUUAACCCAGCUGCUGGGCUGACUCCCGCAGCUCCCGUGUUUGCUGUGAGAAUUUCUUCCCCGAGAAGGUUCUAGAGGUCCUGAGUUCAAAUCCCAGCAACCACAUGGUGGCUCACAACCAUCCGUAAUGAGAUCUGAUACCCUCUUCUGGGGUGUCUGAAGACAGCGACAGUAUACUUAGAUAUAAUAAAUAAAUAAAUCUUAAAAAAAAAAAAAAACUCAAGUAGAUCAAGAGCAGUGACCAUCGAAUGAUCCAGGAUGCGACUGAGUUGGAGAAGGCACAGCGGGCUCGGUUCAGCAGCAGCAUCACCUCUGUGACAUUCAGAAGAGCAACAUAAUCACCACUUUGGAGGUCGGUCACCUUACAGGAACAGCUCCAUAAAAUAUAGAAAUAGGGAAAUUGGCUGGAGGCUGAGGAAUCAUGUGGACCUUAUAAGGAAAACAGACAUAAUGUGCUUACUUCUCGUGGCUGCGACACAACCCCUAAGAGUAAACCCAUGUAAAGGAGAAAGGGCAUAUUUGGCUCGUGUUUCCAGAACUUUCAGUCCAUGGCACGCUGGUUCGGCUGCUUUUUGGCCUGUGAGGAGGCAGAGCUGCACAACCAGGAGCAUCGUGGAGCAAAACCAUGUAGCUCGUGGUAGCAGGGCAGCAGAGAAGGAAGGGCGGGUUGAUGCGGAAACAGGAAACCAUAGUAUUCUCUAAGUGGGCCUCGCCUCCUACACUUCCUGCCUCUCCUCCCCCAUGAGAUCGGGCUUCGCUAAUCCAUGAACCCAUCAUUGGACCAAUCAUUGAUGAUGUUUCAGUCCUUAGGGUGUGCUCCCUGCCCACAGGUCCCACUGAACACUGCCGCUCAGGGGACAAAAGGCUCCGUGAACGUAUAGGGUAUAUUUAAGAUGCUGUCUUAGUGUCGCUACUGCUGUGAUAAAACACCAUGGCCAAAGAAGCAUGGGGAAUAAAGGACUUACUUGGUUUAAGUUUCUAU